CCAUCUAAAAACACUUCAAAUAUGUUAAUGAAGCAAUGAAAUAUUCUCUUAAAAAUUAUUUGUGGAUGGAAUUAAUAAAAUGCUUCCAACCAAAGCACUAUUUGAAAGGGAAGACUGCUUUAAAGUAUACUAACAACUCAAUUAUGAAAUGACUUAAGUACUUCUUUUACUAGAAAACCUUACAUGGUAAGAUUACUCAUGCAACUCGUGAGAAUUUAACUUCCCUAUCAUAUUCACAACUUUAUACUUUCUGCUUAUUUUACCUGAUUGCAUUCGAAGGCACAAAUUGCAUUCUGGAAAUUUAACAUCCUCCAUCUGUCCCCCCCUCCGCCUGUCCCCCCAAAUUAUUUUGCUUUUGGUCAGUCUCUAAGGCGGGCCUCUUAGAAUUUGUUUAACACACAAUAUUUAAAAGAUUUGGAUUCAUGAAAGGCAAGGUAAUACCUAAAACAAGUCGUGUGUUGGGGACUGGGUUCCUUUGCAGUCCCAGAGCAUGGGAGACAUACAAUGAACUUCCUUUGUAGAAACCCAGGAAGGGCUGGUGGGAGGGACAGAUGCAGUGGUUCGCCAGUAAGUUCCCUUAACACCAGAAUACAAGGGGCUAGUUGCUCAGACCUACUUCUUCUUCGAGAGGCAAAAGAAGAGUUUUUUUUCUGGCUAUUCUUUUAAAGGCUACACAGUCUUUGGCAACCUGGGAAUUGCCCACAUACAAUGAGGGAAUCCAGUGAGUUUAAAGAUUGUGUCAGUCACUCAAAAUUCAGUAUUGUGGAAUCCCCUUAUGUGGCCAGCCUCCAACACAAAGAUCCUCACCUCCUGGUGUUCAAGCCCUUGGGAAGACCCCUCCAGCACUAAAUAGGGCUGAUCUGUGUCAAUGUCUCCAAACUGGGGGUGGUUUCAGGUCCACUCCAUGUUUCUCUCCUGCUCCUUGGGCCAGCUGACUACCUCAAGCACGUUCUCCUCAUUGUGAAGGGCAGAAGUGAGACAGAAGCAAGCAGAAAAACACAAUUAUUUCCUGAGGCCAAGCUGAGAACUGUCACAUCGCCACUUCUGCUCAACUUCCUUUGACCAAAGAAAGUCUCAGGAUGAUGCAAACCCAACAUUAUGGGGUGGGGAAACAUUCAUUCUGCCUCUGAGGAGAGGAACUGUAAAGCAACAUUUCAGAGGACAUGCAUGCAUGGAGAAAUGAAGAAACGGGAACAAUUAUGUUAUCUACCACUGCUAUCUAUUUGGGAAUUUCCAGCUAACUUCCAAUUGGUGGUGGAAGAGAUAUUUCUUCUCAAAGUGGCUGACAACAGAAAUGAUUUGACCCUGUAGGUGAAGCCUGUAUCUAACCAUAGGAAUGGGGCUUUGUUCCUGCAUGUCCCUUAACUGAAUCAUAUCUUCUGCAAUGUUAUGGAGAUGGGGUAGCAUUAUUAAUCAAUUAACCCCUUACAAACAUGAAAGCAAACAAUGGUUUCUGUGAUAGGUUGUUUUAUAAGAAAUGAAAAACCCCAAAACUCAACACAUUGCCAUCAAUACCGACUCACAGCGACCCUACAGGACAGAGUAGAACUGCUCCAUAGUAUUUCCAAGGAGUGCCUGGUUGAUUCAAACUGCCGACCUUUUGGUUAGCAUCCGUAGCUCAUAACCGCUAUGCCACCAGAGUUUCCUUACAAGAAAUGGAGGAUAAAAAUACUGCCCUAGAAAGAGUGUUAUGUUUAUAGAUAGUAUCUUGUUUACUGUCUAUUAAAAGUUUGAAUGUUAUCCAGGCUUUACAUGUUCUUUAGUUCAAAAAGGUACCAAUAAUCACCGUGUUUAAAGCACAGGAAUCCACAAAACCUUGUACACGUUAAAAGGAUCUUUCGAGUAAUCCUUUUUUGUUAUCCAGUUUCUCCUAUAUUUAAGAGAAAAGAAUCCCUUAAAUAAGGAGCCUCCAGAGUUGCUUUUUUAAGAUAGGAAAGGAAAAAUCAUCCCCAGUAAACUGAGAGGCAGUAACAGCUUUAAAAUAGAGAUCACUAAAUUCUUAGAAUCUUCAGGGACUUAAAUCAGUGAAGACUCCCGUGGUUCCCUGAACAUCUGAGCCCUGCUCCUAGGGUUAUUUGUAUGGUUCCCACGUUCAGUUCCAGAACUGCUCCACUUAUAUUCCUCACCGUUUCUUCUUCGCUUAGGAUUGGUUGUGGUGCAGCAAAAAGAUUAAGGCUGGGGCCCAGAAAUGAACCUGAUAAAUCCUGUGCCAGGUGCCAAGUACAUCAGAGUGGGGAGUGCCAGGCACCGGGGUAGAAUCAGCCGCUGCGCGCACUGGGACAGU